rnacentral:rRNA from 1 species
UACGUAGGGGGCAAGCGUUGUCCGGAUUUAUUGGGCGUAAAGAGCUCGUAGGCGGCUUGUUACGUCGGCUGUGAAAUCCCGCGGCUCAACUGCGGGUCUGCAGCCGAUACGGGCAGGCUAGAGUUCGGUAGGGGAGACUGGAAUUCCUGGUGUAGCGGUGAAAUGCGUAGAUAUCCGGAGGAACACCAGUGGCGAAGGCGACUUUCUGGCCUGUUCUUGACGCUGAGGCGCGAAAGCUAGGGGAGCAAACGGG